rnacentral:rRNA from 1 species
GCUAAGCCAUAAACAUUGAUGGCACACUCACCAGGCCUUCCGCCAGAAUAUUACGAGUGAAAAACUUAAAACUCAAAGGACUUGGCGGUGUCCCACCUCGACCUAGAGGAGCCUGUCCUGUAAUCGAUACUCCCCGCUCAACCCAACCUCUACUAGCAUCAUUCAGCCUAUAUACCGCCGUCGACAGUCUACCCCAUGAGGGUCCAAUAGUAGACAAAAUAGCUGCCAUCUCGCUAACACGUCAGGUCAAGGUGUAGCAAAUGUUGAGGAAGUGAUUGGCUACAUUUUUUAUUUUAAAACAUACGAAAUGCAACAUGAAAUCAUGUACAAAGGCGAAUUUAGCAGUAAAAUAGGCAAGAGAGCCUACUUUAAUAUCGCUCUGGGACGCGC